GUGGGGAAUCUUCCGCAAUGGACGAAAGUCUGACGGAGCAACGCCGCGUGAGUGAUGAAGGUCUUCGGAUUGUAAAGCUCUGUUAAUCGGGACGAAAGAGCCUAGUGUGAAUAAUGCUAGGAAGUGACGGUACCGGAAUAGAAAGCCACGGCUAACUACGUGCCAGCAGCCGCGGUAAUACGUAGGUGGCAAGCGUUGUACGGAAUUAUUGGGCGUAAAGCGCGCGCAGGCGGAUCUGCCAGUCUGUCUUAAAAGUUCGGGGCUUAACCCCGUGAUGGGAUGGAAACUACAGAUCUAGAGUAUCGGAGAGGAAAGUGGAAUUCCUAGUGUAGCGGUGAAAUGCGUAGAUAUUAGGAAGAACACCAGUGGCGAAGGCGACUUUCUGGACGAAAACUGACGCUGAGGCGCGAAAGCCAGGGGAGCGAACGGGAUUAGAAACCCCUGUAGUCC
rnacentral:rRNA from 1 species